rnacentral:rRNA from 1 species
GCUGGCGGCGCGCCUAACACAUGCAAGUCGAACGAUUGAUGAGGAGCUUGCUCUUCAAAUCGAGUGGCGAACGGGUGAGUAACGCGUGAGGAACCUGCCUCAAAGAGGGGGACAACAGUUGGAAACGACUGCUAAUACCGCAUAAGCCCACGGCUCGGCAUCGAGCAGAGGGAAAAGGAGCAAUCCGCUUUGAGAUGGCCUCGCGUCCGAUUAGCUAGUUGGUGAGGUAACGGCCCACCAAGGCGACGAUCGGUAGCCGGACUGAGAGGUUGAACGGCCACAUUGGGACUGAGACACGGCCCAGACUCCUACGGGAGGCAGCAGUGGGGAAUAUUGCACAAUGGGGGAAACCCUGAUGCAGCGACGCCGCGUGGAGGAAGAAGGUCUUCGGAUUGUAAACUCCUGUUGUUGAGGAAGAUAAUGACGGUACUCAACAAGGAAGUGACGGCUAACUACGUGCCAGCAGCCGCGGUAAAACGUAGGUCACAAGCGUUGUCCGGAAUUACUGGGUGUAAAGGGAGCGCAGGCGGGAGAACAAGUUGGAAGUGAAAUCCAUGGGCUCAACCCAUGAACUGCUUUCAAAACUGUUUUUCUUGAGUAGUGCAGAGGUAGGCGGAAUUCCCGGUGUAGCGGUGGAAUGCGUAGAUAUCGGGAGGAACACCAGUGGCGAAGGCGGCCUACUGGGCACCAACUGACGCUGAGGCUCGAAAGUGUGGGUAGCAAACAGGAUUAGAUACCCUGGUAGUCCACACCGUAAACGAUGAUUACUAGGUGUUGGAGGAUUGACCCCUUCAGUGCCGCAGUUAACACAAUAAGUAAUCCACCUGGGGAGUACGACCGCAAGGUUGAAACUCAAAGGAAUUGACGGGGGCCCGCACAAGCAGUGGAGUAUGUGGUUUAAUUCGACGCAACGCGAAGAACCUUACCAAGUCUUGACAUCCCUUGACGAUGCUGGAAACAGUAUUUCUCUUCGGAGCAAGGAGACAGGUGGUGCAUGGUUGUCGUCAGCUCGUGUCGUGAGAUGUUGGGUUAAGUCCCGCAACGAGCGCAACCCUUAUGGUCAGUUACUACGCAAGAGGACUCUGGCCAGACUGCCGUUGACAAAACGGAGGAAGGUGGGGAUGACGUCAAAUCAUCAUGCCCUUUAUGACUUGGGCUACACACGUACUACAAUGGCGUUAAACAAAGAGAAGCAAGACCGCGAGGUGGAGCAAAACUCAGAAACAACGUCCCAGUUCGGACUGCAGGCUGCAACUCGCCUGCACGAAGUCGGAAUUGCUAGUAAUCGUGGAUCAGCAUGCCACGGUGAAUACGUUCCCGGGCCUUGUACACACCGCCCG